ACUCUCAUAGCUUAACGGGUAAAGCGUUUGUCAUAUGACAAUCAGAUGUGGGUUCAACUCCCACUGAGAGUU